rnacentral:rRNA from 1 species
CAAGUAUUAAAGGUCCCGCCUGCCCAGUGAUACUAUAUUUAACGGCCGCGGUAUCCUAACCGUGCAAAGGUAGCGUAAUCACUUGCCCCUUAAUUAGGGGCCUGUAUGAACGGCUAAAUGAGGGCCUACCUGUCUCUUGCAGCAAGGAAAUGAAACUGAUCUCCUAGUACAAAAGCUAGGAUGCCCCCAUAAGACGAGAAGACCCUGUGGAGCUUACAAACACUAUUGCUACGCUACUAUAAAUCCCAACCACCACACUAGCAAUAAUUUUUAGUUGGGGCAACUAAGGAGAAAAACAAAACCUCCAAGCACCAACUCACCCUUACCCCAGGCUCACCGGCCACAGCCCAAAAAGACCCAGCACCGCUGAUCAUCGAACCAAGUUACCCCAGGGAUAACAGCGCUAUCCUCUUCAAGAGUCCCUAUCGCCAAGAGGGCUUACGACCUCGAUGUUGGAUCAGGACACCCCAGUGGCGCAGCCGCUACUAAAGGCCCGUUUGUUCAACGGCUAAC